UUCUCUCUCUCUCAACCCACUCGUGGCGGAGGCAGCAGGGGCAGGGCCCGCACUACCGUCCCAGAAGAGGGCUAGCGCGCCCGCACCGCCAUCGCAGAAGACUCCUUUUCCCCUUUUCCAUCCUUCUCCCUCUUUUCUCCGCCCGUUUCACUCGCCGUGGCCGAUGGACGCACCACCGGAGACCACGGCCACUCCGAAAACGGCGGCGAUGAGAAGGCUCAGCCCUUAGCGCAGACCCGCGAGGCGGCACGGCGAUGGCAGCAACAUUUUUCUCCAACCCGUUUCCGUUUGAGGCUACGACAGAUGUUUCUUGGUUUCCUCAGACGUCUGCGGGGUAGACCAUGCUGCCCGCCGUGAGGGGAGACGCCGCCCCAGGCACGAGCACCCCGCCGCCGAGAAGCUCGUCCAUGGCCAUGGGCCUGUCACCAUCAGAAAGUGCAAGAAGAAAGCUCCGAGGAAGAUCCACAAAGCCGAUAGGGAGAAACAUGAGCCCGACCUGCUCAAUGAUCUCUUCAGUGAACUUGGCAAAAUAGGUGCUUUUAGUAUUCCACUCUCAGUCAUACACCAUGCCUGGUACUACGGGUCCUGCUACAAAAACUGAGGCUUCAUCAGUGAAAAAAUGCAGGUGCUUCAACUUUCACAGGUCUUCCUAAUUAUCUCUGUUCGAAACCGUCAGUUGCAAAUUCAGUUUCACUGAAUUCAAGCUUCAAGCAUCUGAGAGCAAGGCUGACAACUGCUGAGCAAGAUGAUCCUGAUAAAACAAGGGCAUCAGACUAAAUAGUUUCUUUUAUUGUUCUGCAGAUCUUCCCCGUGAGGCGCUACAGAUCAGAUGGGUGCUGUCGUGAAGGCCGUGAAGGCGUGGCCGGCGGCAUGGGUUAGCCUGUGGGUGGUACCACCGUGCUGCUCUGGACGUGCAUUGUGGUGCUGCUCGUGGCGGCUUUCGGAGGGAGACAGAGUGCAGGACAUAGAGAAUUUGGGGGCUACUCGGGUUUGGAUCAGCAAGCCAUGUCUGUUUCGUUUGGCAAAGGCCUUUUAUCCUUUUUCUAUAAUGCCAUGAACGUCUCUGAAUUUUUACACUGCUUCCAGCCGAUGCUUAAUAUUUUUUCCAACAUAUUUGUGACUGGAGCCCACACAUACAUAGUCAUGGAUCUGAUUUUGUGUUUUGGAUCUUGCUAUUUCACUGAUUUGGAACAUGUAUAUGCAGUUCUAGGCUUCUAGCUAGAUGGAUUAAUAGAUAUGUUGGACCUAUGCAUUUUAUAUUACCCGCAUGGAUCUAUGUUUGUUA